ensembl:lncRNA
CUGACUUUGUGUUUUCUGCGGCAAUAAUCUUUCAUUUCUUCCUCAAGCACAACUCCCACUGGUGUGCAGAAUGCAAGAUUUAGGUCUCUUGCACAACGUGAACCGUGCAUAUGAACUACAGCAUGGCUGGCUGUAGUAUUUCAGCAUUAUCUGGAGAUCAGGUGCGGAUUGUAUAUUGUGAACCUGCAACUGGGAGACGUCGUGGCUCCUUGCCAGGUGGGCUGAGGACAUUAAUAAGAUCCAAAGUGUCUUCUCAGCUGUACUCGUGAAUGUCGAUUGGAAACAACUUUGAAUUCCCUGCUUACAAUGAACAGCGCGUUGAAAUCUGCUGUAAAAGUCACUUCUCUGGUUCUGGAGCUGUUGCCUUUGUGGAAGCCAUGGAAAAACGUAGCUCGUGGUAUGCAGUGCUAAUCAAGAGGUUCUUAACCUUUUAUCUUGCGGCAGGCAGAUCUACGGCCAGCUGACAACAGCCUUAUCACACUGAUGAUGCAUGUGUAUGUCAAGGUAGGGAAAAGCAUGAGAUAAAUGAGAGGGAAGAGAAGAGCCCCUCUACUAAUGAGGAAACCUGCCCACGUUCUAUUUUUGUAAGUGGAAAUUUGAGCUAUUGUUAUUAGGCAGUAAAACCCGAUGGCAGAUGCCAAGAUGCUCAUCAGAGCUGUGGACAAGGAUGGGUAGGGCAGGAAGCUGAGGUCCUGGGAUAGGAUUGGAGCAGUAAAUACGAAUAUGGGCGUUUUGGAAAUGCAAUGAAAUGCAAAUGGCAGACAUUCGGAGUGAAAAAAGCUUGACAACACUGGAUUAUCUGCUGUUUUCCUAAGAGGUGAACACCGAGCCUUCCCAUGACGGCCCUGUCCUGCCCUGUCUGUCAGGCUGGGUUGCUCAGCAGCUUUCUUCCUGGCAUGCAGAUAGCAUGGACAUUUUCAAUUGCUCCAAUAGCGAGGAUGCUUCUGCUGUGGAACCAGAAGUAAUCUUGGUGAUUGUGAAACCCAAGGAGACAACGUGGUCUCAUUUGGGCCAGGAGCCAGAGGGAAUGUUUUUGGCUGUUAUAAGCCCUACAGUUGUAGACUAACAAUGCAAACUUCCA